GCAUUUGGAAAAACUUGGUCAGCUUUCUGAGAACGGAAAACACUCCAGUCGGUCUUACUGCACUAUCUGGGGCUGAUUACUCGGUUUGAACACAACACAGCAUCAUCAUACCUCCUAAGAAAAGAGCAAGGGUCGUGAAUCCACAGGCUGAACCUGGUGUGGGGAGGAAGUACCUAAUUGAGAAUUUCUCAACACUUCCUUCGACCAGCGGUGACCUCAAAAAUGGUCAUGUUCUGCAAUUGUACGUCUGUGCAGCAAGAAGUAGUGGGACUGAAACAGAGAGACAAUUGAAAGCACGUUUUUCAUCCGAGGGCUCGUCUUUCUGUAAUUCCCUAGCAGCUGAUAUUAAAAGGAUUGUGAGAAAUUCAUUGGAAAAGUUCCAGCAACUCACAAACCCACAGGAAUUUGCAAAAUUCACAGCAAUAUGUGAGGAGCAGUUUCAACUCUUACAGCAGGCUGUUGAUCCUGAGGUCACAGCUCCUGUGGCCCAGUUACCAGCUCCUGAAGAUCCUGACGACGUGUCACCCAGCACAUCGAAGGAGACAUUAGCACUUUCACAUUCUGCCACGAUGACCAGUACCCCUGUCAGCCACCGUGAAGUCCACUCAGAGCCAGGGUCCUCUGGCAGUUCGAGGGGGCAUCGAGGUGACCCACUCACUCCUCGAAAGGCGAAGAUGAAGCGACGACUGGAAUUCAUGUCUUCGAGGUACAGAACACUGAGGGAGCGAUACGUUGGAAAAGUGGUAGCGUUGAAAGGACAGCUUCGGACCCCAAGACGUGUCAUUAAUCAAGCUAUUCGGAGGCAGAGAG